ensembl:lncRNA
AUUAUAGUUGAUUUACAAUAUUGUGUCAAUUUUUGCUGUACAGCAGAGUGACCCAGUUAUACAACUAUAUACAUUCUUUUUCUCACAUUAUCCUACAUCAUGUUCCAUCACAAAUAACUGGAUAUAAUUCCCUGUGCUGUACAGCAGGAUCUCAUUGCUUAUCCACUCCAAAUGCAAUAGUUUGCAUCUACUAACCCCAAAUUCCCAGUCCAUCCCACUACCCACCCUGCCUUUCCCUUGGCAAACACAAGUCUGUUCUCCAUGUCCAUGAGUUUGUUUCUUUUCUGUAGAUAGGUUCAUUUGUGCCACAUGUUCGAUUCCAGAUAUGCGAUAUGUGGUAUUUGUCUUUCUGAUUUACUGCACUGAACAUGAGAGUCUCUAGUUCCUCUCAUGUUGCUACGAAUGGCAUCAUUUUGCUCUUCCUAAUGGCUUAGUAUUCCAUUAUGUAUAUAUACAAGGUUUUCCUAAUCCCUUCAUCUGUCAAUGGACAUUUAGGUUGCCAUAUCUUGGCUGUUGUGAGUAGUGUAGCAAUGAACAUAAGGGUGCCUGUAUCUUUUUGAAUGAAAGUUUUGUCUGGAUAUAUGCCCAGGAGUGGGAUUGCUGGGUCAUAUGGUAGAGCAAGAACUUCUUAUGAAGUACAAGAACAUUCUUUCUAAUUUGGGGAGUAGGGAUGUCCCGAUUUUAUAAACUAGUUUUUUAUGUAUCUGAGUAAUAGACUUUCUUUCCAGAGUGGCAGCAGCCUUCCCACCACCUCUGUCCCUCCUCUCUCUGCAAGCAGAACUGCUAGAGCUGUCUUCAGAGAAAACCCACAGCCCCAGUUCCUGACUGACAUUUGGUAAAGCAAGAGGGUUAGGCAUUUUUGUGUGUGUUCACUUUCAUCUAAGAAGUAAAGGUCCAACUUGAUCCAACACCAUCUUUCUCUGUUGAUGGAAAUGCCUUUAUCAUAUACUAAAUCCCUAGAUGGACUAACAUAACCGCUAUUUAUCAGGCACAUUUAUAUCCCUGGAACUAUUCGGGGCACUUGAAUUGGAGAUGGUCCAUGAAGAGUAACCAUAGUAUAAAGAUAGUCUCCCUGGGGUCUAGAAGGGGUUAUGUGUGAGGGACAGAAGCUGAGGUGUUGCAGGAGAGUGGGGUGCCACUGUCAACAGUGGUCAGGGAGGCCUCAAGGAGGUGGUGACAUGUGAGCAGGUGAGGGAACUGGCUGUGCCUUGUCUGGGCCUGUAUGGCUGGAGCAGGUGGGGAGGUGAAGGGGUCACAAAGGAUGUUAGGAGAUGGAGUCAGAGAGCAGGUGGUCGUCCACACUGUGUAGAACCUUCAAAGCCAUUUUUAGGACAUCCAGCCUUACUGAGUGGAGAGGAGUUCUUACAGGGCUCUGAACAGGGCUUGUGACAUGAUGGCACCGGAAAAGGGAUGGUGGCGACUCUGCAGAGGCGCAAGGGCGGGAGCAGGGAGAACCGGCAGAUGAUGGCGUCUGAGGGAAGAGGUGAGAAACAGUCAGUUCAGGGAUGUCCUGUGACUCGGACAUGGGGGUAAGAGCAGAAGAGGCAUCAAGGGUAAGCAGGGAAUUGGGCCCGAGUCAUUAUCCACCGUCACUAUCGGCUGACAUGGGAAGACUUGGUGUUUUGGGUUUUUUUGGCCUUGCCCACAGCAUGUGGAAGUUCCCAGGCCAGGAAUCAAACCCAGACCACAGGAGUGACCAUGCUGGAUCCUUAACUUGCUAGGCCACCAGGGAACUCCUAUUUUUUUUUUCCCCCUGAGAAUGUGGUUUUGAGGGGUGGAGCUGGGCUGGAGGAGUCAGCUUUGGAUGUGUUAGUUUGACACGGCUGCCUGACCUCCAGGCUGAGCCAGCUGGUGGGCCGUGGGAUGUUCAGAUCUGUGAUCUGCACAGCAGUGGCUUGUGAAGGCCCCGUGGAUGAGGGCACACAGGGUGGGGGGCCCAAGGACAGAGCCCAGGGGGUGCCCACCAGGCAGAGGUCGGGGUCGAGCAGGGCCCAGCCCUCUCAGGCUGAGGAGAAGCCCUGGAAUGUGCCAAAGGCUCAGGGAAAGUGUCAGGGAGCAGGGAGACCCAGUGGGUCAGGUGCUGCCCAGACUGGUGCGAGGAGGCCUGAAGACAGUUGGCUGGAGCCCUGAGAAGGGCACUCAUGACCCCAACAGGGAGAGUCUCCAGAGGCUCCCUCUCUUGGGUCUCACCAAACUAAUGACUUGAGCCUUAGGACGUGUGGCCAUACGCAGUACUCUUUGUCAUACUCCGUUACACUUCGCUUUCAGAAUUUACCUGGCAGUUCUUGAAUGUUUAUUUUUCCAUAUGGAUUUUGGCAUCAAAUGAUCUAGUUCUCCUAGUAGGGUUCUAUUAAAUUAAACUUUUAUCUCUAAAACAACUACUGCUUCCAUCCAAGAGGUCUUUCUAGAAGGAAAGAACCACCAGUUACAGCAGUGGUUCUCAAUGUGGCAGUGUCUGGGCAUUAGUGGGCUGGCACCUAAGUGGGAGAGGAUAGUAAAGCCCCAUGGCGGAAGUCCGAGGGUUGGCAGCACCAGACUGAGGUGCCUGCAGACUGGUCUUCUGCCAAAGGCCUCCUCUCCCUUUGCUGCUGCGUCUUGGGCUGUUUCGGGCACGCAUCCACCUGAAAUGCUCUAGCAGAGUCUUCAAGAGUAGACACAAUGUUGUGUUGUGGACACUGUUAAUUCUCUUCAGCUGCCCAGGCUCUGACCUCUUCCUGUCUGUGGGGGCUACAGCUGGUGAUGCCCAGGUAUCCAGUAACGUCACAGAAGUGAAAUGAGCUGGACACUUGCUUUCCUAGGUCCCCCUACAGCUUAAGUACAGGUGGGGGACCUGGGCUGCCCCAGUUAGAUGCAGCAGCUGGAGCUCUGAUCAGCUCCUAGAAGGGUGGGUGCAGUGCCUAUCUCCCUCCUAAAGUUCACAGACCUUGCAGGACAAGCUACAAAGGCCCUAGGCUGCAGAAUUCAGUGGCAGCAGCGGGUAUUUCCUCCCCAGGCCACUCUGGCGCUGGGCUUGGGGCCCUGCCACUGGCUGGCUAGAGCUAAGCCUUGUCUGACAAGUCUGUGGGCUUUUUUUUUUUUUUUUACUUUUAAAAAUACCUUCCCUGGUUUUGUUUUUCUCCCUGCUCCAGGCACAUGGAGCUCCCCCAGCUUCAGCAAUGCCGCACCAGGUGGGGGAUCGUACCCUCAUCCUGGCGCUGCAGAGAUGCCGCCAGUCCCAUUGCACCACAGCAGGAACUCCUCUGUGGGCUUUUAGGUACUCUUUGGAUCACUUCCCUUUUGCUUUCAACAUCAUGUCCUGUGUCUGUUGCUUGCAACCAAGAAUCCUCACUGAUCCACCUGGAGUCACCAAAUUGUGAGAAACACCAGCGGGUCGACUUUCAACAGUGAUUUACGAGACUUUCCACUUCUACAGAAAAGCUAAGAAGUGUGAAACUUUCAGUAUCCAAGCAUGCAUGUAUCCUCCCCAAACACCAAUCAUGAUUGUGUAGGCAAGUCCUACACACCAACUUCCUUUGUUACUCUGAGUCUGUGUAUGAGGGACAGGAGUUGGACCCGCGCUAUAAACAAAUGUGAACCUGGAUUUUAGAAGAAUACCUCAAGACAUCCUUAUCGUGCCUUGAUUUUUGUCCUUUAGGAGUGAAAUGCUUUGGUGAGGAUGAAUCAGUUAGGAUUGUUUAAGUCCAUGAAAUCCACAUCAGCCCCAGUGUCAGGCAGAGGAAGGAAACCAACACCAGCACUGCUGGCUGUGGCUGCGGGGGGUGCAGGCGGGCGGGCAGAGGAAGAGAAAGCCAAGGACAGCGGCAGAGUCAAGUUCAGUCUCUUCCUCCUUGGAAAACACAAUCAAUUUGGAUGCCUUGUCCAGUACAGAAGGCCAUUCCUCACAUUCGUUGGUAUGAUGUGACCACCAGGCCCCUCUGGGGAACACAGGGACAGGCAGGCUGGAUUUCCAUUUCCUCCCAUGUCCUCCCACUGCGGCCUUUCCAGGCGCUCUCCGUCCAGUCCCUGUUCUUGCCGCCUCCAGUUCGACAGAAAAUGUAGUUCUCUGCUGGCCCUGGACAUGGUCCCAAUUUUGUCCGGUACCCUUGUCCCAGCAGUGAGACUGGGCAGGAGACAGGGCCAGCGCCCGGCCGCUCGGCAGGGCUCGCUCAGGAGCGAGGUGCCCCAAUGGCGCCCUGCCGUCACAGGCGCCUCCUAGACGUGGCAGGGGCCCCGUGCCCCAUGUUCAGGGGCAGGGUGAUCGUCCAGAAAGCCCACGCGAGCUGUCGGCACUGAGAACCUGGGCGGCCGGGGCCCGGGGGAGCCGCGGGGACGCGCUUGGAGAGGACGCGCUGCGAGGAUGAGAGGAGCCUCCCCGGGCGAGUCCCGGGCGGCCGAACAGCAGAACCAGCAAGAGGGUGGGCUUCAGAGACGGGGGACGAACAACGUGUAAAUCGAAGCAGUGUACACUCAGUGGUGCUAUUUAAGCAGGGCUUAAAUUAGGGAAAAACGUGUAAAUAUGAAUCAUGCGUUGUAUUCGGUUUCAGCAGCUCCUGCUGACCGUCUACCUUCCGUCGCCCUCCUCAGCAGGUUUUCCGUACCUGGUGGCAAGUUCCCGGCCUGGGGAUAAACCGAAUCUGUCUUUUGUAGGAGCAGAUCUCUGAGACCUGAAGCUUCACAAACUGGGCAGUAGAGGCACACUUUUUGGGAGAGAGAUGAUAUUAUUUAAUGAAUACAAAGUUAGGUGCCAGGUGACGUCUUAUCUAGAGUGACAAAAGAUAAAUUA